UACGAAGGGUGCAAGCGUCACUCGGAAUUACUGGGCGUAAAGGGCGCGUAGGCGGUCGUGACAAGUCACUUGUGAAAUCUCCGGGCUUAACUCGGAACGGUCAAGUGAUACUGUCGGACUAGAGUACAGAAGGGGCAACUGGAAUUCUCGGUGUAGCGGUGAAAUGCGUAGAUAUCGAGAGGAACACCUGCGGCGAAGGCGGGUUGCUGGGCUGAUACUGACGCUGAGGCGCGAAAGCCAGGGGAGCGAACGGG
rnacentral:rRNA from 1 species